rnacentral:rRNA from 1 species
AUUGAACGCUGGCGGCAGGCCUAACACAUGCAAGUCGAACGAGUGGCGGACGGGUGAGUAAUGUCUGGGAAACUGCCCGAUGGAGGGGGAUCACUACUGGAAACGGUAGCUAAUACCGCAUACCAUCGGAUGUGCCCAGAUGGGAUUAGCUUGUAGGUGAGGUAACGGCUCACCUAGGCGACGAUCCCUAGCUGGUCUGAGAGGAUGACCAGCAACCCUGAAACGACGACGCGGUCCAAACUCCUAAGGGAGACAGCAGUGGAAAAUAGUGCGCAAGGGGGACAAGGCAGAUGCAGCCAUGCCGCGUGUAUGAGAAGGACCUUCGGGUUGUAAAGUACUAUCAGCGGUGAGGCGUUACCCACAGAAGAAGCACCGGCUAACUCCGUGCCAGCAGCCGCGGUAAUAC